rnacentral:rRNA from 1 species
AUUGAACGCUGGCGGCAGGCCUAACACAUGCAAGUCGGACGAGCGGCGGACGGGUGAGUAAUGUCUGGGGACCUGCCUGAUGGAGGGGGAUAACUACUGGAAACGGUAGCUAAUACCGCAUACCAUCAGAUGAUCCCAGAUGGGAUUAGCGGGUUGGUGGGGUAACGGGUCACCAAGGCGACGAUCGCUAGCUGGUCUGAGAGGAUGCACAGCCACACUGGAACGGAGACACGGCCCAGACGCCUACGGGAGGCAGCAGUGGGGAAUAUUGCACAAUGGGCGCAAGCCUGAUGCAGCCAUGCCGCGUGUAUGAAGAAGGCCUUAGGGUUGUAAAGUACUUGCAGCGGGGAGGCGUUACCCGCAGAAGAAGCACCGGCUAACUCCGUGCCAGCAGCCGCGGUAAUAC